UUUUGUCCAAAGAGAGAAAUAUCAGGUUCUAAGCAUAAAUCUUUCAGAAUCAAUAUAGGAACAUAGACUAAUACUUCUGUAGGAUGGGGUUAGAACACUUGCCAUUGAGAAUUUUGAUCCUAAAUGAGAAGAUUUGAGCAAGAAACCUCAAAGCCCCAAUUUUUUUUUCUUCUUCUUCCCCCUUUUUCUUCUCUUCUUCUUUCUUUCUUUCUCCUGUGCUUCCACGUAGCUGCCUUCUCUGGUUCCUUAUGAACGAAGGCAGAGAGGCUUAAACGGUGGGAUUUGUAUUUUUA
rnacentral:lncRNA from 1 species